rnacentral:rRNA from 1 species
AACGAACGCUGGCGGCAGGCCUAACACAUGCAAGUCGAACGCUCCAGCAAUGGAGAGUGGCAGACGGGUGAGUAACGCGUGGGAACCUUCCCAGUGGUACGGAAUAGCCCAGGGAAACUUGGGGUAAUACCGUAUAAGCCCUUCGGGGGAAAGAUUUAUCGCCAUUGGAUGGGCCCGCGUCGGAUUAGCUUGUUGGUGAGGUAAAAGCUCACCAAGGCGACGAUCCGUAGCUGGUCUGAGAGGAUGAUCAGCCACACUGGGACUGAGACACGGCCCAGACUCCUACGGGAGGCAGCAGUGGGGAAUAUUGGACAAUGGGCGCAAGCCUGAUCCAGCCAUGCCGCGUGAGUGACGAAGGCCCUAGGGUUGUAAAGCUCUUUUGGCGGGGACGAUAAUGACGGUACCCGCAGAAUAAGCUCCGGCUAACUUCGUGCCAGCCGCCGCCGUAACAC